ACCCAGCUAGAUCAGUCGGUAGAUCAUAAGACUCUUAACUUCAGAGUCAUGGGUUCUAGCCCAAUGUUGGGUG
rnacentral:tRNA from 1 species